GCAUGGGUUUGGAUUAUGGCAGGUCCCUGGGGCCUCUCUUAGUGCCCCAUGCCAAAGCAGGCGGGGGCCCAAACCAUUGCUUGGUCCUUGCCAGUGGGCUAAAGGUACCGAAGCGGGUCAUACAGCG